rnacentral:tRNA from 1 species
GUCUAGGUGACACAGUAGAUAGAGUGCUGGCCUUGGAGGCAAGAGGACUUGAGUUCAAAUCCUACCUUAGAUA